CCAUUGCAGUGUCCUGCCAAGAACAUGAUCAUAUCGGCAGGACAAUGCAAUGGGCAGCCUGAGUUCUUCAGAAUAGAAAGCGUGUUGAUCCAUUCUUCCAAAGUGUCCUUUAUAACAAAAAGGGUUUCUGUCUGUGUGGGAUCAAAAGUGUUCAAGACCCUGAGGACCUAUUUGCAGCAUUAAAUGUCCUUUACAAUGCCUUUGCUACUACGAGUCAUCAUUUCCUCCACUGAAGCCCGGCGAGUCCAGCUUCCUGAAGUGCCUGAAUCAGUGGAAUCUCUCAUCAAUAUUCUUCAAGAGAAGCUGCAACUACAAGGACAGUUUUGCCUUAAGUUUGAGGAUGCUGAUUUUGGCAAUGCACUUUGUAACCUGUCUGACAUCUCAGAAUUGCCCAGUGGAAAAGCAGUCUUGCAUAUUCAGUGGUGCAAGUCAUCAGUUUAUGAAACCAGUAGCCUUCCAUCAGUUUCAUCACUUGAUACUGCUAGU